rnacentral:lncRNA from 1 species
GGUAUCUGAGAAGAAAUCAAAUUAUGGUCUUAACAAAACUAAAAGAAUAUAAAAUAGAUAUUAUUUAGAAAAUUUUAAAGCAACCAAAGAGAAACAUGAAAAUUUAAUAAUAUUCAAAUUCUUUAACAAUUAGAAGAAUGAGAUGAAUAAAUAAAACCUAAAUAAAUCAUAUAGAUUUUUAUAUGGAUUUAUUUAAGAAAUUAAAAAAAUUAUUGGAGAGAAUUGAAGCGUUUUUAGUCAAAGUUCAAACAAAAAUAACCAAGAAAACUAAUUUUGGUCUAAUUCAAUCUCUAUUAAUAGCACAACGUUGUUCAAUAGCAAAAAAUAGUUCAAAGCAUAGUUCAAAUUUUAUUACGGGACUUUUUUGUUAUUUUUUUUUUCAUUUUAAAAAUAAAUUGUAUAUAUUCUAUAUGACUGGCUAAACUGGCAGAAAAAAACAUAACAAAAUGUGUUGCAUUUUAGUACAAGUGAGAAAAAAUCAAAACACAUUUGAACCAUAAAAUUGUGCUGUUACUGUUUUUGGAAAAGAAGUUCAAAAUAAAAAUGUAUUUUAAUUGAUAAAGUAAAAGAAAGAGAGAAAAGAUUUAUGAAAUUGAAAAAAGUUUAAUAAUUUCAUUUCAAAAAAAUUAAGAAACUAAUAAAAUUUAAAUAUAGUUACAAUACUAUUGACCAUUUUGAACAACAUUCAAAAUUGACAAAGAUAAACCUUCUACGGUGGAGGCUCUUUUGAAUACAUCUCUCUCAA